rnacentral:rRNA from 1 species
AGUCAACAUGCCCAAAGGACGUGGAUAACCUCGGGAAACUGAGGAUAAACCGCGAUAGGCCAAGGUUUCUGGAAUGAGCCAUGGCCGAAAUCUACAUGGCCUUUGGAUUGGACUGCGGCCGAUCAGGCUGUUGGUGAGGUAAUGGCCCACCAAACCUGUUACCGGUACGGGCUUUGAGAGAAGUAGCCCGGAGAUGGGCACUGAGACAAGGGCCCAGGCCCUAUGGGGCGCAGCAGGCGCGAAACCUCUGCAAUAGGCGAAAGCCUGACAGGGUUACUCUGAGUGAUGCCCGCUAAGGGUAUCUUUUGGCACCUCUAAAAAUGGUGCAGAAUAAGGGGUGGGCAAGUCUGGUGUCAGCCGCCGCGGUAAUACCAGCACCCCGAGUUGUCGGGACGAUUAUUGGGCCUAAAGCAUCCGUAGUCUGUUCUACAAGUCCUCCGUUAAAUCCACCUGCUCAACAGAUGGGCUGCGGGGGAUACUAUAGGGCUAGGAGGCGGGAGAGGCAAACGGUACUCAGUGGGUAGGGGUAAAAUCCAUUGAUCUACUGAAGACCACCAGUGGCGAAGGCGGUUUGCCAGAACGCGCUCGACGGUGAGGGAUGAAAGCUGGGGGAGCAAACCGGAUUAGAUACCCGGGUAGUCCCAGCUGUAAACGAUGCAGACUCGGUGAUGGGUUGGCUUCGCGCCAACCCAGUGCCGCAGGGAAGCCGUUAAGUCUGCCGCCUGGGGAGUACGGUCGCAAGACUGAAACUUUA